rnacentral:rRNA from 1 species
UACGGGGGGGUCCUAGCGUUGUUCGGAAUCACUGGGCGUAAAGCGUUUGUAGGUGGCUUUGUAAGUUGAAUGUGAAAGCCCAGGGCCUAACCCUGGAAGUGCAUUCAAUACUGCAAAGCUUGAGUAUGGGAGAGGAAGAUGGAAUUCCUGGUGUAGUGGUGAAAUACGUAGAUAUCAGGAGGAACAUCGGUGGCGAAAGCGGUCUUCUGGCCUAAUACUGACACUGAAAAACGAAAGCGUGGGGAUCAAACAGG